rnacentral:rRNA from 1 species
GACGAACGCUGGCGGCGUGCUUAACACAUGCAAGUCGAACGGUGAAGGGACCGGUUUUUGCUGGUUCUGGAUGAGUGGCGAACGGGUGAGUAACACGUGAGUAACCUGCCCCCUUCUUCUGGAUAACCGCAUGAAAGUGUGGCUAAUACGGGAUAUUCUGCGCCUGCUGCAUGGUGGGUGUGGGAAAGAUAUUGUUUCGGUGGGGGAUGGGCUCGCGGCCUAUCAGCUUGUUGGUGGGGUGAUGGCCUACCAAGGCGGUGACGGGUAGCCGGCCUGAGAGGGUGGACGGUCACACUGGGACUGAGACACGGCCCAGACUCCUACGGGAGGCAGCAGUGGGGAAUAUUGCACAAUGGGCGCAAGCCUGAUGCAGCGACGCCGCGUGAGGGAUGGAGGCCUUCGGGUUGUAAACCUCUUUCGCCAGUGAAGCAGGCCUGUCCCUUGUGUGGGUGGGUUGACGGUAGCUGGAUAAGAAGCGCCGGCUAACUACAUG